UUUGAAUGGGCGAAGCUGAUCCAUCAUACGCGUGUGUCGAAGAAGGCUGAGGGUUGUAAGCACUUUCAAUAGGAAGGAAUACUAUCGGUUAUACCCGGUAGACUGACAUUACCUAUACAAGAAGCACCGGCUAACUCCGUGCCAGCAGCCGCGGUAAUACGGAGGGUGCAAGCGUUAAUCGGAAUUACUGGGCGUAAAGCGUGCGUAGGCGGUUAUUUAAGUCAGAUGUGAAAGCCCUGGGCUUAACCUGGGAACUGCAUUUGAUACUGGAUGACUAGAGUUGAGUAGAGGAGAGUGGAAUUUCAGGUGUAGCGGUGAAAUGCGUAGAGAUCUGAAGGAACACCAGUGGCGAAGGCGGCUCUCUGGACUCAAACUGACGCUGAGGUACGAAAGCGUGGGUAGCAAACAGGAUUAGAUACCCUGGUAGUCCACGCCGUAAACGAUGUCAACUAACCGUUGGGUUCUUUAAGAACUUAGUGGUGGAGCUAACGUAUUAAGUUGACCGCCUGGGGAGUACGGCCGCAAGGCUAAAACUCAAAUGAAUUGACGGGGGCCCGCACAAGCGGUGGAGCAUGUGGUUUAAUUCGAUGCAACGCGAAGAACCUUAACUACCCUUGACAUGUAGCGAAUCCUUUACA
rnacentral:rRNA from 1 species